AGACAGCCCUGCUGAUGUCAUGUGUUUGGACCUCAGUGAUCAAAGACCAGCAGUUUAUAUUAGUCAGUUUUUCCGAAGCCACAAUACCACAAGUGCUUAAUUGUACAUUUUUUAUUAAUAUUUUUACUGUUUCGGUUUUUUCGAAAUAUAAAACUAAAUAGAAUUUGCUGUAAUUGUGAUUUAAAGGUCUCAAUUAUUAGCACAUAAUUUACUGUCUAAAUGUAAUUUGCUGAGUUGUUGUUUGUAAUAACCUUCCUCCUUCAAUGACAGAAAAUAAAAAGGCUUUGAAGAGCAUUUUGUUUUUACCCACAAAAUAGCCGAAAACAACAGAGCAAGUUGAAUGUGAGCAGCACAGAUUCUCAAAAACCCUCAAAGAACACGGUGCAAGUGGAGGAUGAUAAAAAAGGAGAACAUCUGGUGAGCAGAGCACAGUGCCAGGACAAGACAAAGCCAUGUGUCUGGCAAUCAUAUACCUACACACACACAGGGAACACAAACACACAUGCACACAGACCCAAACAUUCAUUCAUGCAUGCACACUCAAAUCUGCCUGCCCCCAAACUUGCAAACAAGCAAAAAAAAAAAAAUCCCCCCUACACACAGACACACACACAUACACACCCAUACACCUUCAUUGUGCCAGCGCUCAUGCACAGCAGGGUGCAGUUAGAGCGAAAGAAAAAAAGUAGGAUGUGAUUGGAGAGUCCACUGUUCAGGCAAGACUAAUCUGCAUACUCAGAGGCUUAGAAGUGAAUAUGCAUGAGAGAAUAAAAUGAUAUGCCUUGAAGCAGACCACCCGCUCUCUUUGGAUUACUGUACCCACCUCCGAGCCUUUUAUCUUCUUGUUGGCAUGCAAUCAAGCUGAUUUAGUGUGCACUUGCUGAUGGCUUUACACAACAGAUAGGCCUUAUAAGGUACAUAACCUGUUGAGAAAGAAAAAAAAAAUAAUGUCAAGAAAAAGGUUGAUUUGCGCUUAAAAUGUCACCAAAAGUGGUUAAAAAAAUACUUUUGCCCAUAUGUUUUUUGGCCAUAGUUUUUUUUUUUUUUUUAUGUCUGAUUCAGUUAACUGUAAGUAGAUUCAACCAUCUGCAGACAGAGAAGCAAAACAGAGAAAAUGAAUAUUUGGAAGAAUUGCACAGUAUUAGACACAGAGCUCUGAUGACCCAUCAAAUAUUGAAGAAAUGUCUGCUGGAACAGACUUCAGACAGACUUCCUCUAAGACUGUCCCUGCCAAUGAAUGAAUAUUUCAUUUCAGAAAAUAAAGUGGCCCUGAGAGGCACCAUUACCAAACUCUAAUGUCAGGGGAAAACAUUCUCCACGUUUAGCUGAAAGUUAGGGUGAAAUGAUAAGAGCCGUCCAUGCGUAACACAAUCUGAUGGGGUAAUGCAUUGGCAUCACAUUAGCAUGACUGUAUUUGACUGAAUGACUCUGUGUGU
ensembl:lncRNA